rnacentral:tRNA from 1 species
GGCAACAUAGCUCAGCUGGUUAGAGCACAUCACUCAUAAUGAUGGGGUCGCAGGUUCGAGUCCCGCUGUUGCCA